GAUGAACGCUGGCGGCGGGCCUAAUACAUGCAAGUCGAGGGAAGCGGGGACGGGUGAGUAACACGUGGGUAACCUCCUAUAAGACUGGGAUAACUACGGGAAAAAAGGGCUAAACCGGACACUGAUAGAUGGAUCCGCGCUGUAUUUGCUAGUGGGUAAGGUAACGGCUUACCAAGGCCACGAUGCAUAGCCGUCCUGAGAGGGUGAUCGGCCACGCUGGAACUGAGACACGGUCCAGACUCCUACGGGAGGCAGCAGUAGGGAAUCUUCCGAAAUGGGCGAGAGCCUGACGGAGAAACGCCGCGUGAGUGAUGAAGGUCUUCGGAUCGUAAAACUCUGUUAUUAGGGAAGCGGUACCUAAUCAGAAAGCCACGGCUAACUACGUGCCAGCAGCCGCGGUAAUAC
rnacentral:rRNA from 1 species